rnacentral:rRNA from 1 species
UGACGGUAUCUGAGGAAUAAGCAUCGGCUAACUCUGUGCCAGCAGCCGCGGUAAGACAGAGGAUGCAAGCGUUAUCCGGAAUGAUUGGGCGUAAAGCGUCUGUAGGUGGCUUAAAAAGUCUCCUGUCAAAGAUCAGGGCUUAACCCUGGGCCGGCAGGAGAAACUCUUAGGCUAGAGUUUGGUAGGGGCAGAGGGAAUUCCCGGUGGAGCGGUGAAAUGCGUAGAGAUCGGGAGGAACACCAAAGGCGAAAGCACUCUGCUGGGCCAUAACUGACACUGAGAGACGAAAGCUAGGGUAGCAAA